rnacentral:rRNA from 1 species
GUGCCAGCCGCGCGGUAAUACGGCGGGUGCAAGCGUUGUCCGGAAUCAUUGGGUGUAAAGGGUGCGUAGGCUGGCGCCUAAGUCUGAGGUGAAAUCUUGCCGCUUAACGGUAAAAUGGCCUUGGAUACUGGGUGUCUUGAAUCUGACAGAGGUCGGUGGAAUUCGUAGUGUAGCGGUGAAAUGCAUAGAUAUUACGAAGAACACCAGUGGCGAAGGCGGCCGGCUGGGUCAGUAUUGACGCUGAGGCACGAGAGCGUGGGGAGCGAACAGGAUUAGAUACCCUGGUAGUCC